rnacentral:rRNA from 1 species
UACGUAGGUGACAAGCGUUAUCCGGAAUUAUUGGGCGUAAAGCGCGCGCAGGUGGUUUCUUAAGUCUGAUGUGAAAGCCCACGGCUCAACCGUGGAGGGUCAUUGGAAACUGGGAGACUUGAGUGCAGAAGAGGAAAGUGGAAUUCCAUGUGUAGCGGUGAAAUGCGUAGAGAUAUGGAGGAACACCAGUGGCGAAGGCGACUUUCUGGUCUGUAACUGACACUGAGGCGCGAAAGCGUGGGGAGCAAACAGG